rnacentral:rRNA from 1 species
UCGGGAAUUUUGGGCAAUGGGCGAAAGCCUGACCCAGCAACGCCGCGUGUGUGAAGAAGGCCUGCGGGUUGUAAAGCACUUUCGAUGGGAACGAAAUGUGCCGGGUUAAUACCCCGGUAAGCUGACGUUACUCAAUGAAGAAGCACCGGCUAACUCUGUGCCAGCAGCCGCGGUAAUACAGAGGGUGCGAGCGUUAAUCGGAAUUACUGGGCGUAAAGCGCACGUAGGUGGCGACGUAAGUCGGGUGUGAAAGCCCCGGGCUCAACCUGGGAAUUGCAUUCGAGACUGCAUUGCUGGAGUACGGAAGAGGAGGGCGGAAUUCCCGGUGUAGCGGUGAAAUGCGUAGAUAUCGGGAGGAACAUCAGUGGCGAAGGCGGCCCUCUGGUCCAGUACUGACACUCAAGUGCGAAAGCGUGGGGAGCAAACAGGAUUAGAUACCCUCGUAGUCCCUGAGCGGGCUGGCAAGGCGCAU